CACUUUGAGGGUGGGGAGGAUGAGACAGGAAUGUGCUGACCGUGGUGGCUGAGAGGCUACAGGAGGCACUCUUUGAAGGGAAGUUAAAGACAAAGAGGAAGAGGCUGUAUUUCAUUCUCCCAGAUGGCUCCUGCCAGCCUCCAGAGAAAAGGCAGCUUUCUUCUUUAGAAAAUUGGCAGGACAAAAGAAGGAAGUCGACUUGGAAAGUCCAGCGACAGACCUCGUGCCCCUGCUCUGGGAGGCCGCAGGUCAAUGGCUCCCCCUGGCUUCAGGGGACACAGCUCAAGCCUGGAAGGAGCCCAUGGCCAGCCUGAAAGCCUUGCUCACACCCAGCAUCCGCAGCUGGGGCAAGAGCGGCUACUCCCAAGACAGGAAAAGACACACAGCCUAACUUUGCCACUGUGAAGGGAGACUUCUCUCUAAUGCCUAACUAGACACUUAUCUUCCAACCUCCUCAAAAUGCCUUCAAUAGAAGUCCCAGGAAGACACGGAGCCCCAGCCGCCCACUGACUCCUACAGGAUGCAGCUGCGCCAGGCAGCCCAUCCCAGGGGGCCCAGGCCAAAGAGGGGCCAGGGUGCUUCCCCUGAGAAUGAAAAGGGAUGUCGGGUAGAGGGGGAGGGUGAUGUGGGACUCGCUGGUGGCUGUUAAAGGAGCUCGCGUCUCGGUUCCUGCAGGAAAAGUGCUUUGAGCACUCGCCUGGCCUGGUGAAGAAGGAAGGCAGUUGGCGGGCAUUUUUGGAAGCUCUCACCCCCCAUGCUGGUCCUGGUACCCCUUCUCCAGGGAUGCGGGGCCCACAUUCAUCACAGUGGGGUUCCAUAGAUGAUGGUCCUGUCAUAUCAGGGUUCCCAUUGAAGGGGGCCCUUUUUGGCACUUUCUUUUAUUCCAUUAGUCUGUUUGCCUGGUCACACAUUUUAUUGCUUUUUCCCGCAAAAGAAUCAAUGUGGGAAUUUAUUUAUUUAUUUAUUGAGACGGAGUCUCACUCUGUCACCCAGGCUGGAGUGCAGUGGUGCAAUCUCAGCUCACUGCAACCUCCGCCUCCCUGGUUCAAGCAAUUCUCCUGCCUCAGCUUCCCAAGUAGCUGGAAUUACAGGCAUCUGCCACCAUGCCCGGCUAAUUUUUUGUAUUUUUUGUAUUUUUUUUUUUUUCUGAGAUGGAGUCUCUCUGUGUUGCCUAAGCUGGAGUACAGUGGCGUGAUCUCAGCUCAUUGCAACUUCUGCCUCCCAGGUUCAAGCAAUUCUUCCUGCCUCAGCCUCCCAAGUAGGUGGAAUUACAGGUGCCCACUACCAUGCCUGGCUAAUUUUUGUAUUUUUUAGUAGAGACGGGAUUUCACCACAUUGGCCAGAUUGGUCUUGAACUCCUGACCUCAUGAUCCACCUACCUUGGCCUCCCAAAGUGCUGGGAUUACAGGUGUGAGCCACUGCACCUGGCUGAUUUUUUAUAUUUUUAGUAGAGACGGGUUUCACCAUGUUAGCCAGGAUGGUCGCAAUCUCCUGACCUCGUGAUCCACCCACCUUGGCCUCCCAAAGUGCUGGGAUUACAGGUGUGAGCCACUGCGCCCAGCCAGGAAUUUAUUUUUAAAUUAAAUUUGAUUUAUUUAGUUUCCUAACCCUUUUAUUGUUUUUAGGCAAUUUUUUGAAGUAUAAUAUGAAUAAGAAAAUUAUGGUGAAUUGUUACAGCAUCGAGACCUCCAAGACCAGGACAUAGAACAAUCCCAGCCCCCAGAAACCUCCACCCCAUAAGGCUCCACAACCCCUCUUCUAACACACAGAUUACCUUCAGCUCUUCUUGAACUUCAUAUAAGUGUGAAACUCACCCAUGCUGUUGAACACAGCACUGUUUCAUUCAUGUAAGCGGCCUUAUAGUAUUCCAUUAUGUGAACGCAGUUUAUUAUCCGUUCUGUUAAUCACAGUAGUUUUUACCUGUUGUGAGUAAGGGUGUCACAAACAGCCUCAUGUGUACUUUGUGGCAGAUGGAAUUCUUGUACAGAUGUGGAACAUACACUGGAUUUGAAGUGCUGGGUUAUAGAGUAUGCACAUGCUCAGCUUUAUCAAACAGGGCUUAACAGCUUUUCAGAGUGGCUGUGCCAACUCACACUCUCCAACAGUCUAUGGGAGUUCCAGUUGCCCCACACCCUUGCCACCACUUGCAAUUGUCAGCUGUAAAUUUUAGCCAUUUUGUCGGGUGUAUAUUGGUAUUUUAUUGUGUUUUUGAUACUCGUUGCUCCCGCAAUCGUUGAAGUUGAGCACGGUUGUAUAUGCUUAUUGGCAAUUUGGAUACUGUCUUUGCGUUUUCAAAAAUUGGGUUUUUGUCUUUUAUUGAUUUGUAGAAUUUCUUUAUUCUGAAUUUGAGUUCUUAGUUGUGCUUGUGUGUGUGCACAUAGUAAACACACACACAGGUUAAAAUAAUUGGGAGAUCAUUAGAAUGAGAUGACCCCAGCGCCUUGGGUUUCAACUCAAGCAAACCAAAGUCCAUCUCAGUGUACAUGGUUAUAGUUCAGGUAAGCAGAAACCACCGGCUGAUCUCUAACACGGGGCUUUUGACUGGAAUGAUUUCUUUCCCUUUCUUUCUCUUUCUUUCUUUCUCUCUUUCUCUCUUUCUUUCUCUCUUUCUCUCUUCCUUUCUUUUUUUCUUUCCUAUCUUUCUGCCUUUCUUUCCUUCCUUCCUUCCAUCCUUCCAUCUCUUUCUUUUUCUUUUCUCUUUCUUUUCUUUCUCUCCCUCUCUCUUUCUUUCCUCCCUCCCUUUCUUCCUUCCUUCCUUCUUUCCUUCCUUCCCUUCCUCCUUCCCUCCUUCCCCUCCCUCCCUAAAAUUCAUAGAAUAAAAAAAUGCCUGAAUAGCCAAAGUAAUCCUAAGCAAAAAGAACAAAGCUGGAGGAAUCACAUUACCUGACUUCAAAUUAUCUUACAAGGCUAUGGUAACCAAAACAGCAUGGUAUUUAGGAUUGUUUUCCCAAUUCUUUGAAAAGCGAUGUUGGUAUCUUCAUAGGAAUUGCAUUGAAUCUGUAGAUUGCUUUGGGUAGUGUGGUCACUUUCACAAUAUUGAUUCUUCCAAUCCAUGAUCAUGGGAUGUAUUUCCGUUGGUUUGUGUCAUAUACAAUUUCUUUCAGCAGUGUUUGCUAGGUCUCCUUGUAGAGAUAUUUCACCUCUUGGUCAAGUUAUUUCUAGUUAUUUUAUUUUACUUUUUGCAGCUAUUGUAAAAGAGCUCGGGUUCUUGAUUUGAUUCUCAGCUUGGUCAUUGUUGGUGUAUAGCGGUGCUACUGAUUUGUGUACAUUGAUUUUGUAACCUGAGACUUCACUGAAUUCAUUUAUCAGCAAUUCAUUCAUUUUUAGAGGAUACUUGGUCCAUGCACAUGUCAGAGAUUGUUGUAAUGUUUCUUUCUUGCAAUGAUCUCAUCACAUUUUAAUCACAAAGUCAGGCUAGUCUUUUAAAUAAAGUUGCAAAGCAUUAAUCAUU
rnacentral:lncRNA from 1 species